UUAAACAUAUUGAAAAUAUCUGUCUUGUAAAUUGCAACAAAUAUAUAACAUGAUAGAAGAUCCUACAAAAUGUGAAGAUACCGAUUUUGGUAAUGUGACUCCAUUGUGUUCUCAAGUGAAUCAAAUAUAUUUGGAUACAAAAUGUUUAAUAGAUAGUAAGAAUACACAAGUUCGUGUUGUUCGCGGUGCUAAAAAGUUCAAAAUUGACAACGAUGUUAACAACACUGAGAAAAAAGAUGCAAAAGAGGAAGAGACAGUAGAGAUUAAAGUAAAAUCUCUCAAACGUUCCUGUGAAUUAUGGUCUAUGGAGGAUAAAAAUACUUUUUUUAAAGCACUUAAUGAAUACGGCAAAGAUUUCGAUGCCUUACAAAGCUAUUUUCUAAAUCAAGGAAAAAAACGAGGUCUCUCAGACAUCAUGAUAAAAAAUAAAGAGCAAAUUCGACAUUUUUAUUACAGAACAUGGUUAAAAAUAUCAAAGCAUCUUAAAUUCUCAGAAGAUGUUAAAAAAACAUCUCAGGAAUUAUAUGGACUAAUAAAUUAUGGUGAACUUAGAAGAAAAUUACCUCGUAUUCAUGAGAAAGUUCACUUAAGAUUAAAUGAAUUGGUAUAUUGGGGAUCUACACAAGUCAGACUUAGAGGAAAAACAAUGAGAGUUAAAACACCGAUAUGUAGAGCACUUAGAAAGUUAAACCAGUUAGAAGAUUGGCAGGAAGAAAUUAAAUUACCAUCUAGAAUAGUGAUAGAACUACGACCGCGUAACAACAUGGCUUGGUGGCAAGUACAAGCAGCAUCCAUGAAUCCAAGAGUUCGUACACUUCUCCCCAUACAGAGACGUCUCUCAAGUCUAUUAAUAUUUUUGCAACAACGAUGGCGACUCGCAAAAUAUACUACGUGUUCCACUGUAGAAAAUCUUGUUGCUAACGAUAUAAAAGAUACUUGUUUAUUACGAGUUGCCCCACCAGAAGGAUGUAAAAUUGCUUUGCCAAUGGUUAAUCUUGGAGAAUAUCUUACUAGCAAUAGUGUCAGUUUGAAUUCAUAUGAAAAACGUCUCGGUCUGAAAAGCUCACGGGAAGAUUUGUUAGGUUCUGUUCAAUAUUUAAAAGGAGUAGGGAAAAAGGGCAUUAAACGAUAUAAAUCGGAUAAAAAGAUUUUAAACCGCACUGAUGAAAAUUGUACACUGCCAGAUAUCAGUAGUGAUAUGGAUCUCUUAGAAACUGGAAGUAAUAUAUCCGAAAAACCAACGAUUAUAAAUAAUACAGAAAAACCGCCAUCAGAACAUCAUUCAGAACCAAAUAGGUUUCCUGGUAGAGAAACUAUCGAGAGAAUUCGAAAGGGUUGGAACAUCGAAGAAGCAAACACAAUUACCGUGGGCGAUCUUUUUCUAAUGUUUGGUCGUGAAUCAAAGAUUAUACUUGAAUAUUGGUGGGAUUGGUUACCUAAUGGACAAUAUACAACUAAUUCAGCAUCAUCGAGUAUUAUACAUGAUAACAGUCUAUGUUUGGUUUUACAAAAGUUAUUGUCACUGGCGAAACAUAAUUAUGGUACUAACAAAGUAUACGAUAAUACAUCAGGAAGUAAUGAAACGGUAAUUUCGUCUCGAGUCCUAUCUAUUAAAGAAUCUACAUUUAGAAGACCUCUCAUUCCACAAACAUAUCAUAAGAUUGGUACAGCUGACGCAUUUAAGACACAACUUGAUAAAUUUAAAACACGCUUUUGUAAGCGAGGUAGAACAGUGAGACAAAAAAGUCUCGUUAUACAAAGGGUAUUGCCUGUUGUAUCUGCGCCAAAUAUGUCAUCAGAAAAUUUGACAACUAACGCUAGUGUAUGUCAAAUGCAAACUAAUAAAAUAACAGUAAAUGCGAACGAUGCUCAGGACAAAACUUUCUUAGACGCUUUAGAGACAAGUGGAGAUACAAAGAAUUCUAAUUCAAUUAUUACUAGUGCUACCCAAAUUCUUAAAGAAGGUGAACAUCAAUGGUUAAAUAGCGAGGUUGCAGAUUUUUCAUUAAGCAGUUUCUUAGGGCAGCUUGAAUCACCUAUGAAAGGUUCACAAAGAAGUCAAGCAGGUGAACAAAUUAUAGAAGAUAUUCGUCCUUCUUCUGAUGUUGUGUCACAUAUGCAAUGCCUCAUGGGAGAAAACAGUGUGGACUACAUGGCAAAAUUUGCAAAUCUUGCAUCUCAAAUGGCUUGCGAUGAAAACAAAAAAUAGGAUGCAUAUGUGUAAAAGACCUAUGGAAAUACGCUGCGUCUCAACAGCUCAUUAUUAUGAGAAAAUACAUAGAAAAGCAUUUUGACAUACCUAUAUGAAGAAUAUUUUCUGAUUUUUAUGCAACUGAUGAAAACUAAUUAAAAUAUGCACGAACAGAAAGUCCGAAUGAGUCGAUUUCACAAGAAACUUGAACAAAAAUAAUUUAAAUAAUUCAUUGCUUAAUAACUUAAUUAAUAACUUAAUAGGGGGUGAGAUUAGAAUUUGCUUGAUAUGAAAGAUUUACAUAUGAGUAGCAUAUAACAGUAAUGAUAUCCAGCGGAUCUCGGAUUACUUGAACGAAUAAUAUUAAGUUGUCAAACUAAAAUUGUAAGCCUAGAAAAAAUAUAUAGCUUGAUUCACGUGUAUACGUAUGCUUAGCGAAGAUUUAGAAUGAUAAACAGAUCAGUAGGUGCUCGAUCUUGUAAGAGUGGCGCUGCAAUGUAUUAGAUAAAAAUAUAUGUGUUUAAUUGAGA